rnacentral:lncRNA from 1 species
AGAGAGAGAGAGAGAGAGAGAGAGAGAGAGAGAGAGAGAGAGAGAGAGAGGUUCCUUCAUACAACCACCUCCACUUUGCCAUCUCCCUUUUUUUCCACCCUCCCCCUUCUUCAACUUCUUCCCCUUUUCGGGUUGAGAAGAUAUGGAACGUCAUAGCUGGAAUCACCUUUUGAGAUUUAGGUUGGGAAUACGAAGUACCCAACCUCCCCAAAACAUGAAGGAGAAAGGGUAGGGAGUCCUGGUACCCUAAAAUAAAUUUCAUAUUACUGUGUUGUUUCUCCUUGAUAAAGACCCGUUGUAUUUUUAAAAUAAACAACUUUUAUUUUGCAAAUUUUUUUCUGCAGUCUGAUGUAAGCUUGCUUCUUCACCUUUUAAAAUCAAUAGAGAUUGAUUGUGUAGCGUGGCUAACCUCAGGUUUCUCCUUCUUCCAUGUCCUCAAACCUUCUUUGGAUUCCAAAGGUUUCUCGGCUAAUAUUUUGUUAUUUUUAAAUUUUUAAUCCUAAUUUCUACUCUCUCCUAAUUGGUUGCCACCUCAUUUUAAAAAACUUCACAUCAGCCAAAAUGUUAGUUUUUAGAUGGAAAACUGAUGAGUGACUAAAAUUGUUGAUGGAGGCUAACGUCAAGGAGGUCAAAUGCUAUUUUUAAUGUUUAGGACCACUUUUGCACAUUUUUUAAUCCUGGGGACCAAAAGUGCUCAUAAGCCUACUUACAAAUAUAUACUAUCAAAGUAUAGCUUAUUUUCAUAAUUUUAUUUACAUUUUAAAAUAAGCUUAAAUUUUAUAAAUUAUACUUAUUUUAUUUACAUAUACGUUAUAAAUUAUGCUUGUUUUAAUUUUUUUUUUGAUAUUUUAAAAAUUCAAAACUAGUUUUAGUUUUACAAAUAAAAUGUUAGUUUUUUGAGCAAUUUUUUUUUUCAAUUUUGUAAUUUUAUGAUAAUCAUCCCAUUGCAAGAAACCUUCUACCAAUAUUGCAACACCUAUCAUGGUACAACGUCCAUAAUGGUUGAGGGUGGAGACGAUUGAGGGUGUUGGUGGUUGAGUGCGAAAGGAUGGCAGGGAAAGUGGUAUAGGGUACUACAUGGUGGUGACGAUGAUGAUGAAGGAAAUUAGGUUAUGGUAGAGGGCAAUGGUUGCCACGAUGGAGGGUAUUCAAUGUCGAAGGAGUCAAGAGGUGGAAAAUGUGGAGAUUGACGUGUUGUGGAAGGAAUCCGAUUAUGGCAAAAAUGACGGUGAGGGAAGGUACAAGUGGCAAAAAUGAUGGUUAAGGUUAUUGGGUGGUGAUUGUUGUGCGGUGGUGGAGGGAACUACAUGGAAACGACAAUGGAGGUAGCAAUGACAUAGGAGAAGGGUAUCAAAGUGGUGGCACUAAAGGAGGGAAAUAGGUGAUGACGGUGUUCGAACAUACCUGGUGGUUGAGGGUAUCAGGUGGCAGUGGUGAAUAUCGGGCAGAGAUGUGUUGGUGAAUGUUACUUGGUGACAGUGUUGGUGGUGACAGAAGUUAACUGGUGGGAGUGGUUGAGGUUAACAACCGAUAGUGUUGGGUGGAGGGCACCAGGUAGGUGGUAAUGUCUGUGACAGAGAGGACUAACAAUGAUUGUGAAGAAUGCGGGGCACUAGCAACCAUGUAGGUUGUCAAGUUUCUAAGGAGUGGUUUACCAAGAAGAUGAAGGUAUUCUCUUUAAUUUACAAUGCUCCAUAGAGAAAGAUUCCUAGAGUAUAAAUAUGUGAUGAUAAAAGUAAUAUGGUAAGAAUAGAACUUGAAGACAUAUGAGGGAAACCACUUGAACAUAAUAAUGGGGUUGGAUUAUGUCUAUGGAAGCCCAAUUUAUCAAGCCCUAAGCCCAAUUUAAAAGGGAAUGUAAGCCUAAUAUAAAAUGUCAAACUCCCUUAUUUAGACCCACAUCCAAUUCCAAACCCAAAAUACAAAUAAAAAACCUAAAAUUCAUAAACACAAAGAGCAUAUUACAAAUAGGGAAAUGCUAUAGACUAUAAAAGCUAUAUAGAAAAGUUAAAUUUUUUAGGGUGGCUCCAACCAGCCCUGCAUGAAGGAUCUCAUCUUAUGUCCUCCCUUCAUAGGCAAUCAUGCAUCACAUAUUUAGAUAAAAAGAAACGCAUUAUUAUUAUAUAACAAAAAUUAAAAAUCAUUUUGUUGCUUAAAUUUAUUUUGGUAUUCAUCAUUAUUCUAGUUAGAUAUAUAUUUUCACAUACUUAUACCACUAAAAAUAUGAAGUUAUCUAAAUUCCAAAACCGACAUAAAAAAACAUAUUAUAAAGAUAAAUCUGUAUAUGUGUUGCCCCUUAUUAGCUUGAAAUUCAAGGGUUCGUCGGCGUACAAAAAGAAAUGUCGAUAAACUUUCAAGAAUGGAUACGAACAAUGGUAAGUAUACAAAACAUGUACUGUAGAAUUUUGAAGUACCAUAUAUAUUAGUUCACGUGGUUUCAGAAAUUUGCAAAUCUAACAUCUUAUUAUUUUUAUGUCCUUAAUUUUUCAUUUGAAUUACUCUUGAUUCUAUUAUAAACACCAUUGAAGUCUUGAGACAUGGUAUAGCCGAGCACUGGUGCUUUUAUCAGGAUUGCUACCUGGAGAUCCUACCAUUUCUUUAGACUCCCUUUCCAUAUGGUAUGUCAACAAACAAUUUCUCCUCUAUCUUUUAAUUUGAUUAGGUUGUAUUUUUUUUCUUUUUUCCUUACACGGCUUGAUCACUAGUUGACUCUAACUUUUAGAUUUGGGUUGAGGUUGGGGUAUAAUACACAGGUUUGAAUAAGUUUGAAUGAUGCAUAUUUUAGUCCAUGCAAGACUUUAACCCCGCCUAGUACCAGAGAGAUCCCAAACUUCAUAUUAAUGAAAAUGGCCUUACCAUAGGAUAUCUACAGGGAAAGUCAAGUCAAUUUUAUUAACCCCAUCAUGGGAUAUUUUACUCUGCGAGCCAGAUUAAUUCUUUGAUUUCAAAUUUAACGAGUGAUCGAACAAUGGAAAUAAGACUUACUUUGAUACUGUAUUAGAAUUUAGAUUAGCCUAUCUCUACCAAACACACUAUUUUAAAUGUGAUCGGGAAAAGUCCUUCUAUAGGGACUCCAAUGACCAUAUAUUUAGUCAAUUUGAAACUUUACCAAAAUUUGGCGUUGUGUUCUUUGAAAUAGUAACAUUUUUAGAAAUAAGUCUUGUCAACUUUAGAAACUAGAAAAUUGGAAUAACUAAAUAUUGUUUCAUUAAAAAAUAAAUUCUAUAUACGAGCAGAAUGAUAAAUAGAAAUUAGAAAGAAUUAGAGAUAUAAUUAGUUAUACAACAAGAUAAAAGGGAAAUGAGAAUAUAACAAUUUUUUUUUGGUUACAUAAGGAACGAACAAGAAAAGCUACACUAAAGCAUCCUGCAGGAUAAGAACAGAAAGACCAGCUGAGGGUUGAGGCCAGUCACGCCGAGGAGACGCAUCUCUGGUUGCCUGUUGAGCCACCGUAUCUGCAGGGGUGUUCUUUUCGCAAGGUAUAACCCGAAUGAUGACUCUCCACUCCCGGCGAAACAAGCUUCUCACACGGCGGAUGACAUCACGAGCCCAAAAAUGAUCUGUGCUUGCCUCCUGUUGCAAAACUUCACUAACAGUAGUGCAAUUUGUGCAAUUUGUGCAAUUUGUGCAACAAAGUACUUGUCGCAGCCCACGGUCCCAGCAGACAAUGAGGCCAAGUUCCACAGCUAGGAGUUCCGCCAUGAAAGCUGUACCAGUACCAAAACUCUGAAGGUAUGAAAAACGAUAGAAAGGGGGGGGGUUUGAAUAGCGUUUUCAGAUUAAAACUUUCCCACUUGAGAUUUUGACAAAUCUCUCAAACUCAGAAUGUAUAGUGCUACGAUAAGAGAAGAGGAAAGCACACAAUGAUUUUAUCCUGGUUCACUUGAUAAAUCCCUCAAGCUAAUCCAGUCCACCCGUUAAGGUGAUUUCUUCCUUCUUAGAAUGAAGACAAUCCACUAAUCAAAGUUUGUUACAACUGCACUUGCAACCUGCAAAGUGACUAACAAUACAAUGACUUAGCUAUCACUAAGAUUCACUCUCUUAGUCUUCUCAAGGAUCUAACCAACCUUGGUCUCCUUAAGGAAAACAAACAACUGUUUAAGAGUUUUGGGUUUACAAAGAAAUGCUUCUCAGAAAGCUAAGGUAAACACAAUGUAAUUCGUUGAAGAAA